rnacentral:rRNA from 1 species
GACGAACGCUGGCGGCGUGCUUAACACAUGCAAGUCGAACGGAAAGGCCCUGCUUUUGUGGGCUGCUCGAGCGGCGAUCGGGUGAGUAACACGUGUGUAACCUGCCCUUGACUUUGGGAGAAUUUCAGGAAACUGGGGCUAAUACCGGAUAGGAGCUCCUGCAGCACGGUGGGGGUUGGAAAGUUUCGGCGGUGGGGGAUGGACUCGCGGCUGAUCAGCUUGUUGGUGGGGUAGUGGCACACCAAGGCUCUGGAGGGUCGCCGGCAUGAGAGGGUAGCCGGCGUCAUUGGGACUGAGGUACGGCCCAGACUCCUACGGGAGGCAGCGGUGGGGAAUAUUGCGCAGUGGGGGGAAGCCUGAUGCAACGACGCCGCGUGCGGGAUGCCGGCCUUCGGGUUGUAAACCGCUUUCGCCUGUGACGAACAGUGAGUGACGGUAAUGGGUAAAGAAGCACCGGCUAACUACGUG